GACGAACGCUGGCGGCAGGCCUAACACAUGCAAGUCGAACGGUAACAGGAAGAAGCUUGCUUCUUUGCUGACGAGUGGCGGACGGGUGAGUAAUGUCUGGGAAACUGCCUGAUGGAGGGGGGUAACUACUGGAAACGGUAGCUAAUACCGCAUAACGUCGCAAGACCAAAGAGGGGGACCUUCGGGCCUCUUGCCAUCGGAUGCGCCCAGAUGGGAUUAGCUAGUUGGUGGGGUAACGGCUCACCAAGGCGACGAUCCCUAGCUGGUCUGAGAGGAUGACCAGCCACACUGGAACUGGGACACGGUCCAGACUCCUACGGGAGGCAGCAGUGGGGAAUAUUGCACAAUGGGCGCAAGCCUGAUGCAGCCAUGCCGCGUGUAUGAAGAAGGCCUUCGGGUUGUAAAGUACUUUCAGCGGGGAGGAAGGCGGUGAGGUUAAUAACCUCAUCGAUUGACGUUACCCGCAGAAGAAGCACCGGCUAACUCCGUGCCAGCAGCCGCCGCAA
rnacentral:rRNA from 1 species